UACAGAGGGUGCAAGCGUUAAUCGGAAUUACUGGGCGUAAAGCGUGCGUAGACGGUUGCGUAAGUCAGAUGUGAAAGCCCCGGGCUCAACCUGGGAAUUGCAUUUGAGACUGCGUAGCUAGGGUGCGGAAGAGGGAAGCGGAAUUUCCGGUGUAGCGGUGAAAUGCGUAGAUAUCGGAAGGAACACCAGUGGCGAAAGCGGCUUCCUGGUCCAGCACCGACGUUCAGGCAUGAAAGCGUGGGGAGCAAACAGG
rnacentral:rRNA from 1 species